AGCAGGCGCACCACAGCCUGCUUACAGGGAGACUAAGCCACACAUUGGCGCCAUGUUUGCAGGCUUCCUGUAGAGCAAAACCACCAACGAGAAACGCUAACACAUGGAAAGCGUGGUAUUGAAUGACUGCAGAAGAGGUCUUUGUUUUGAUGAGAAAGCUAACAGCAGAAGGCAGCCAGAGUCUCCUUUGACCUCAGCCAGGACCCAGAAGGACUUCCUGCCUUCACCACUGCUCCCACCUGGAAACCUUGCUCCUGCCUGGGCCCUCUGUCCCCAAGCUGCCCUCUGCCUGCUGCAUCCACAGGUUCUGCCUCACACAGUCGGCCAAGCAGGAGCUAGAACUGCCCUUCGAAGAUGCACCCAGCUACUUCCUUGCUUAAAACUUCCCAGUGGCCUCCCCGUUACUCCAAGCAAAAUCCAAGAUGUCUAGAUGACCUCCAAAACCAUCUGAGUGCUGACCUCUCCUCCCCCGACCCUUUUC